rnacentral:rRNA from 1 species
AAAUAUGAAGGCGGGCUGGAACCUCUCGGGGUUACAGCCUUGCUGAAUUAUUCACCCUUGUCUUUUGCGUACUUCUUGUUUCCUCGGUGGGUUCGCCCACCACUAGGACAAACAUAAACCUUUUGUAAUUGCAAUCAGCGUCGGUAACAAAUUAAUAAUUACAACUUUCAACAACGGAUCUCUUGGUUCUGGCAUCGAUGAAGAACGCAGCGAAAUGCGAUAAGUAGUGUGAAUUGCAGAAUUCAGUGAAUCAUCGAAUCUUUGAACGCACAUUGCGCCCUUUGGUAUUCCAAAGGGCAUGCCUGUUCGAGCGUCAUUUGUACCCUCAAGCUUUGCUUGGUGUUGGGCGUCUUGUCUCUAGCUUUGCUGGAGACUCGCCUUAAAGUAAUUGGCAGCCGGCCUACUGGUUUCGGAGCGCAGCACAAGUCGCACUCUCUAUCAGCAAAGGUCUAGCAUCCAUUAAGCCUUUUUUUUCAACUUUUGACCUCGGAUCAGGUAGGGAUACCCGCUGAACUUAAGCAUAUCAAUAAGCGGAGGAAAUG